AGCCGCCCGAUCCAGCACCAGCGGCCCGGGUAUCCGCGGCAGCAUAUGGUCGGGCGGCAGCUUCAGGUGCCGGCCGUGCAGAGGCGCCACAUGACAGCUCCCGGGGGUCGACGCCCUAUACCGGUGGCGCACCAAGCUGGCGGCAGCGUGACAGGCGGCGGGCACGGCGCACCACCCGCGCACAUGAGCCGCCGCCGUCGCCGCCGCCACCGCCACCUGGUGGAUGCCGGAUUUGAAGGUCGACGCCCUCUACCGGUGGCGCACCAAGCUGGCGGCAGCGUGACAGGCGGCGGGCACGGCGCACCACCCGCGCCCAUGAACCGCCGCCGCCGCCGCCGCCACCGCCACCUGGUGGCGCGACCCCGGGACGCCUGGCGGGAGCCGUCCAACUCUGAGGCGGGCUUGGCAGAAGGAGACGGUCGCAACGACACCUAGCGGCGCGCGAGCACGCAUCCUACAAGCGGGGGCACCGACUGCCGCCCAAGAAGCCCCGGAUUGCGGCGGUGGCGCUGAGAUAGAGUGCGGUCGCCCAGGGAGGCGGCCGUCCACCAAGGUGUCCACCGUCCGCGAACACCGGCUAUGGGCGGUAGCGUGCGCUACCGGCUGAGCAUCGCGCGCGUGUGCUACCAAUCCAGGCGACCUCCAACCAAGGACCAGUUCAUGGCGGAGGGUCGAGGGCCAGAAGAGCGAGGCGAUACGAGCGAGCGUGGGAAGGAAGAGCUGGCAACGGAUCGGCGCUGCGAAAAAUGCGAGCAGCAGGAGAAGGGCUUGGCAGGAGGGUGGCAGGCGGAAUGAACAAUGGGGCGAUGAGCGGGAGCGUGGGCAGGGCGACUGUGCAUGUAAGGCGUGGGGCGGGUGUCUGUAGAAUGUAUGUAAGAUGUCUGUAGAAUGUAUGUAGGAUGUCUGUAGAAUGUAUGUCGCAUGUGUUGUGUAGGUAUAAUGAUUGUCAAGCGCGAAUGAGAUAGUGGAAAGGUUCUCACCCGGGGGAGUAAGGGGACCCUUUUUCACCGUCCGUGGGAGGGAGAAUUAUUAUGUAAGGGCAAAAUUGAGCGCGUCAGAGAGUGUGUGGAGCGGCGGGCCGGAGAACCAGAGUCCGCGUUAGGCCAGUCCGCCGUAUGUUUGCCUCCGGCGGGAAAGGCGUGCCCGCCGGGUGAAAGGCAGCGGCUGGCCGGCACCUGGGACUCGCGGGCCCGUCUCUCGUGGCAUUUGCCAGUGCGGUUUCGUCGGGGCAACAUCUUUCGGUAAGCGAUCUUUUCCAUCCCCCCUAAAUUAACGCCGCAGCGCCCAGGCGCUGCGGAAGUCCCCGACAUAUGUCCUGGAUUUUAUUUGGCUUUCCGACCCGCCGCAAAUAGCGGUGGGCUCUCCCGUUCAUAUCCAGGGCCGUCCCGUCUAAAUUAUAUUCAUCGGCGCGGCGCGUAGGGUAAAUGAGUGAGCGGUUGAAAGUGUGAUGUGUGCUGUGUGCGUGAGCGAUGGAAGUUGAGGAGUGAUCAUUUUAUCCCGCAAAUCUAAAAUACAUAGAGUUCGGAAUGUGA